rnacentral:misc_RNA from 1 species
GAUGAAGAACGCAGCGAAAUGCGAUAAGUAAUGUGAAUUGCAGAAUUCAGUGAAUCAUCGAAUCUUUGAACGCACAUUGCGCCCCUUGGUAUUCCGAGGGGCAUGCCUGUUUGAGCGUCAUUAUAACCCUCAAGCUCAGCUUGGUGUUGGGGCCUGCUGCACUGGCAGCCCUUAAAAUCAGUGGCGGCGCCAUCUGGCUCUAAGCGUAGUAAUUCUUCUCGCUAUGGAGUCCUGGUGGAUGCUUGCCAUCAACCCCCAAUUUUUCUAUGGUUGACCUCGGAUCAGGUAGGGAUACCCGCUGAACUUAAGCAUAUCAAUAAGCGGAGGA